CGUCAAAUACACGGUGAAAAUAGAAAAUACUAAAUAGCAUUGUGUUUAAUAUAUCAUUUACAUUAUUCGUUUUUAUCCAUUGCGAUGCAUAUGAAAUAUGCACUGGAGGAUUAUGUUUUAUACGUUGUAAUGAAUAUUGGGCAUUUAUCUCUUCCUGUUCAUAUUUGUUACCAGUAGUUAGUCUAGACACAUAGAAAUUCACUUUAAUUUACUGAUUAUCAAAGCAGCAACGUUUUUCAAAAGUUCAGGAAUAUAGAGCAGACAGCGGGAGAUUUUCCAGGAUAAAGAUGAUCAACAGAAUGUUCAUUCCAAAGGACAAUCAAUUGUUUGAGAGUUUCCAGCAAUUCCAUAAAGAGAGACGGCUGUGUUCCGGAAAAUUCCUGCCAAGUUGUUUGAUUACAUCGGAUUCCGCAUGCUGCAGAAGGAAAGUUGGUCCGGAAAAUCGCUGGGAAGCAACGAGGAUGCAAUUAUGAAACCCAUUGGAUUGAUCAAGAAAGUGAGCAAAAUCGAUCUGGGAGCUUAUGGCCAUUUUCCCGGAAAUGCUUCCGUUCACGGCGCCCACCAUGAAGUACGCGUCUGGUAAUGCCGCCUCGUAUUCAAGUAAAGUUAUUAUUAGAAUAGAAUCAUUAAUCGGAUGUAUUUAAAAUUGGGUAGAAAAAUAUAAUUUUCGCGCGGAUGAAUUUUACGGUGACGAUAUUUCAUUUGUUUACAAAUACAAAACAAAAAAUAAGCAAUUUCGAGAUUUAGUAUUUAUUAUGCAUUACACAAAUAAUCUCGUAAUAUGCAUGCGCUGCUAUAAAAACCAUUUAUAC